rnacentral:rRNA from 1 species
GACGAACGCUGGCGGCGUGCUUAACACAUGCAAGUCGAACGGAAAGGCCCUGCUUUUGUGGGGUGCUCGUGUGGCGAACGGGUGAGUAACACGUGAGUAACCUGCCCUUGACUUUGGGAUAACUUCAGGAAACUGGGGCUAAUACCGGAUAGGAGCUCCUGCUGCAUGGUGGGGGUUGGAAAGUUUCGGCGGUUGGGGAUGGACUCGCGGCUUAUCAGCUUGUUGGUGGGGUAGUGGCUUACCAAGGCUUUGACGGGUAGCCGGCCUGAGAGGGUGACCGGGCACAAUGGGACUGAGAUAAGGCCCAGACUCCUACGGGAGGCAGAAGUGGGGAAGAUUGCACAAUGGGGGGAAGCCUGAUGCAGGAACGCCGCGUGCGGGAUGACGGCCUUCGGGUUGUAAACCGCUUUCGCCUGUGACGGAGCGUGAGUGACGGGAAUGGGUAAAGAAGCACCGGCUAACUACGUG